UACGGAGGGUGCAAGCGUUAUCCGGAUUUACUGGGUUUAAAGGGAGCGCAGGCGGAUUAGUAAGUCAGUGGUGAAAGCCUUGAGCUUAACUCGAGAACUGCCUAUUGAUACUAUUAGUCUUGAAUGUUGUUGAGGUUUGCGGAAUGGGUCAUGUAGCGGUGAAAUGCAUAGAUAUGACCCGGAACACCUAUUGCGAAGGCAGCAGGCUAAACAAAUAUUGACGCUGAGGCUCGAAAGCGUGGGGAUCAAACAGG
rnacentral:rRNA from 1 species